GAUGAACGCUGACAGAAUGCUUAACACAUGCAAGUCGACUGUGUCGGACGGGUGAGUAACGCGUAAAGAACUUGCCUCACAGUUAGGGACAACAUUUGGAAACGAAUGCUAAUACCUGAUACUGUGAGAGAGCUUUGCGUCCCAUUAGCUAGUUGGAGAGGUAACGGCUCACCAAGGCGAGGAUGGGUAGCCGGCCUGAGAGGGUGAUCGGCCACAAGGGGACUGAGACACGGCCCUUACUCCUACGGGAGGCAGCAGUGGGGAAUAGUGGACAAGGGACCAAAGUCUGAUCCAGCAAUUCUGUGUGCACGAUGAAGUUUUCGGAAUGUAAAGUGCUUUCAGUUGAGAAGCAGUCCCAACAGAAGAAGUGACGGCUAAAUACGUGCCAGCAGCCGCGGUAAUAC
rnacentral:rRNA from 1 species